rnacentral:rRNA from 1 species
GAUGAACGCUGGCGGCGCGCCUAACACAUGCAAGUCGAACGGUUAAAGCCCCUUCGGGGGUGUAUAAAGUGGCGAACGGCUGAGUAACACGUGGGCAACCUACCUCUUGCUCUGGGAUAGCCUCGAGAAAUCGUGGGUAAUACCGGAUACUCCGUAACCGUCGCAUGGCGGAUACGGGAAAGCGCAUACGGCAAGAGAUGGGCCCGCGGCCUGUUAGCUUGUUGGUGGGGUAACGGCCUACCAAGGCUAUUAUGGGUAGCUGGGUUGAGAGACCGACCAGCCAGAUUGGGACUGAGACACGGCCCAGACUCCUACGGGAGGCAGCAGUGGGGAAUCUUGCACAAUGGGCGAAAGCCUGAUGCAGCGACGCCGCGUGCGGGAUGAAGGCCCUAUGGGUUGUAAACCGCUUUCAGCAGGGACGAGGCCGCAAGGUGACGGUACCUGCAGAAGAAGCCCCCGGCUAAACUACGUG